rnacentral:rRNA from 1 species
CAAGGAAUUUUCCCCAAUGGGCGCAAGCCUGAGGGAGCAACGCCGCGUGCAGGACGACGGCUUUCGGGUUGUAAACUGCUUUUGGGGGGGACGAUAAUGACGGUACCCCCCGAAUAAGCCCCGGCUAACUCUGUGCCAGCAGCCGCGGUAAUACAGAGGGGGCAAGCGUUGUCCGGACUUACUGGGCGUAAAGCGCGCGCAGGCGGUCACGGGCGUCGGUGCUGAAAGUGCGCCGCUUAACGGCGCAAUGCGUGCCGAUACGCUGUGACUGGAGCGCGGGCGAGGGUGGUGGAAUUGCCGGUGUAGUGGUGAAAUGCGUAGAUAUCGGCAGGAACACCUGUGGCGUAGGCGGCCACCUAGCCCGCUGCUGACGCUGAGGCGCGACAGCGUGGGGAGCGAACUGGAUUAGAUACCCCUGUAGUCC